AAAUCUGUUUAAUGGUCAUUCAUGUUAGUAGAUUUAUAUAAACAGAAAACAGUUCCAUUUUUUCUUUAAGAAGCAAUCAAGCAAAACACUAGGACCAAUACAAUUAAUAGCUCAAAGACUUGGAUACAAUGGCCACGCUGAGUAAGACAUGAGCGCCAUCUGGAGGAUCCACUUGAAACUACAGUGCAGCAUCUGAAGAACCUGUGAAGUAUUAAGGUACCAUUUGUGGAUAGGAGUUAGGAAUGAGCUACCUUUAUGCCACAACCUGAACUCCUAUUAUUUCAAGCUUCCACGAGAGGACUGAGAAUAUUGUGACUGAGUGAAGUGCUUUUAGCAGAGAUGGGAAAUGAAAUUUUAACAUCUGAGGAGUACUGACGUUAGCUCAUUAGUAAAUAUAAGUCAGAAGUAAUAGGCAAGAGGGAAAUUGGUAAAUGAGUCCCAACCCGCUGUAUCCUGAUGCCCCAUCUCCUUGCCCUGAGUAGGGCCUCAUACAAAUCCAUCAGAAUUUUUAAUCACAAGAUAUAAAUGACUCAUAAUUUAGGUUUUCCAGAGGCAUUUACAUUUUAAUAUAGAGAGAUAAUGGGGAGAAUCUCCAGAUGUCACCUGUUGGGGAGGCUAUGGUGGAGCAAAACAAUCACCUCCUAUAGCAAAUACUUAAUUCUUUUAAAUAAACUAGGCCUGUUCCUUGCUGAUACACUCAUUUUAAUGAAAAUGUUCUAAAAGGGAACUUAAUCACUCAAAAGUGUGAGGAGUUUAAAACAUUUGCAUUUUCUAUGUUUAUAUAUUUCUAACAAGACACUGAUUAUUCUAUUUAUUUGUCUGUUUGGUUUUUUUUAAGAUACUGGUAUUUUAAUGAGAUACCUAGUCCCCAAAGCUGUCAAAUAGCUCUGGUGAAAAACUUGAUUUUUAAAAAACUUCCUAUCACUUGAAGGACCAAUACCUGUGUAUAUUAAAGUGAUAAUUUCAUGGCAAUAUCUUAGAGCGUAGUCUAUCUGAACUUGUCACAGACUGUUUAGAGUGUGUCAACUGGCCUUAGUCUGUCGACUGCAUGUGAAGAUCAAUGUUGCUGUCCUAUUUCCUAUUUUCUAAAAAAAUACCUGCAUAUGACCGGAAAAUCUCUGUCCAUCAGGACCAUCACUAUAUUCAAGAGCCUGACUUACACCUUCCUCCCAACUUUUAGAAGAAUAAGGCCUUUGAAUCCAUAAAAAGGAACAUUUCAGACAUUUUCUAGUCUUCAUUUUAAAGUGACCCUCUUCUUGUGAUGUGUUUGUACAACUCCAAUUCCCUUGUUUAGUUCAACUGUCUUCAGUUUUGCCAACUUUAUUUGUGAUGAAUUUGGCCUAGACACCAGAGGCUUAUGUAAGUAAGACACCUGGGUAGCACAGAAUUUCAGAUAUUUAAAUAUUAAUAGGGAAAUCCAUCUAGGAAAUCCACAUAGCAGACAAGACAUAUACUUUCUUGAUACGAAGAUUAUAGGAAAGCUUCAGUUGAGGUUGUAUAUUUUUUUAAAUUUGUUUUGCCAAGAUGCAGAUCGAUAGUAUCUUUUCUUUCUUUUUUGUUGACAGUGUCUUUUGAUAGAUAAGUAAUUUU
rnacentral:lncRNA from 1 species